ACUCGCACAACUCUUCCUCCAGCACAGCAAGAUGAGUAUUGCUAUAUCACUUUGAGUAACCAGCAACCUCCACCACCCGCUGCGGAUACUUGCCAGUGGUCCGGAUGUGGUGGGGGUCAGUGGACCUUCCCUGCUCUCAGGCCAUCCAACUGCUGACCCGGCCAGGCUGCAGGGUAUCUCAGCUGCCCCACCAGUGGGCUUCUAUCAGUUCUCCAGGUAGAGGGGAAGUUCUGAGAGAAUGUUCUAAACAGAAAGAAUCAAGACUCAGCAGGGCUGUAACAAGGCUUCUUAAGAAGAAAAAAAGAUGCUAUUUUGGACAGAAAGCAACCUCUUAAGAGAAAGCAACAUACAAUUUGUAUAUCAGCAGGCGAAAACAAUAUUCAGGCUACAAAAUCACCACCUGCUUUAGGAGCUGCUGUUCAAACCAAGAGGGGUAGGGAAGAUGGCUACAGGAGGAAGAAAACCAGAGGGGGAGUCAGGAGAUAUGGCUUUAAAUCGCAGAUUAGCCUGCAGUGAUUUCCAAUGAAUUCCAUGGACUGCCAGAUGGCAAUGCAGUUGAUAGAACACUGGGCUUGAGUCAGGAAGACUGGUCUGAAGUCAAAUCUGGCUUCAGACAUUUACUUUGUGACCCUGGAAUUCUUUAGUUGAUCCUGCCUCCAGGGUUCCAUAAGCAAUCUCAGUUUGCUUAGCCAGGUCUUCAGCACUUUCAAUAGGAGAUACCAUCCUUUCCACCGUCAGGAAGGCUGCCAGAUUAGCCGUAUAGGAGGAGAUGAUUAUCAAGGUGAAAAACCACCAGACGCCACCAACAAUUCGGCCAGAGAGAGACCUACACACCAAAAGAAAAAGAAAAAAAAUAAAGACAUUUAGCACAGUCCCUGGCAUACAGAAGGAAAACUUAAUACUUAUAGACUGACAAAACAGAGUGCCAUAUAAAGUCCCAGAAGGAUAAAUAAAGACUUCGGAAGAAAUAACAUUUGAAUCGGGCUUUAAAAGUUAUAUAAGAAUUCAACAGGUGAUAGAUGAUUAAUAUUCCAGACACAUGGAACUGUGUGUACAAAGGUAUGAGAGAAGGGCAAUGAAGAUCAUGUUCACUGGAAAGAGAAUUGUCUAGUUUGUCUAAAGAAUGAUGAUGAUGAUAACUAACAUUUAUAUAAGGCUUAUCAUGUGUCUGGUAUUAUGCUAAGAGCUUAAUAAUAAUAAUAACAAUAACACCUAUAUUGUAUUGGGUUUGUAUAAAGCACCUCACAAUUAUCUCAUUUGACCCUCACAAUAACUGGGAAGUAGGUGCUAUUAUCCCUAUUUUACAGAUUAAAACAAAUAGAGAUAAAGUGACUUGCCAAGGGUAUCUAGCUACUAAGUGCCUAA